GGUGUAAAAAGCUUAAAAGCACCAGAAGAAGAGCAUAUUAGCCUGGUCAUGCCUAAUUCAUCUAGCAUAGGUGCGAUGUAAUUAGGGGAGAGUGCCUAAGCUUGAUAAAAAGAUAAUUAAGAAGCGGGUCAAGAAAUUCAAGAGGCCCCAAAGUUACUGGAAAAUAUGUGUCAAGAAAUAUAUUUGCAAUGUUAUUUAAAGGUUGAUAUCGGUUACGGGUCAGACAAAAAGACCCGUCUUAUUCUUCCAUAUGGUUUUAAGAAGUUUGUGGUGCACAAUGCCAAAGAGUUGGAAGUUCUCAUGAUGCACAACAGGUAUGGUAGUUUUCAAUAGAGGUUUUAAUUGUCAAUCUAUUAGUAGUUGGAAAGAUAUUUACAAGUAGUUUGCCUCUUUUG